rnacentral:rRNA from 1 species
AUUGAACGCUGGCGGCAUGCUUUACACAUGCAAGUCGAACGGUAACAGGGUGCUUGCACCGCUGACGAGUGGCGAACGGGUGAGUAAUGCGUCGGAACGUGCCGAGUAGUGGGGGAUAACGCAGCGAAAGUUGUGCUAAUACCGCAUACGUACUGAGGUAGAAAGUGGGGGACCUUCGGGCCUCACGCUAUUCGAGCGGCCGACGUCUGAUUAGCUAGUAGGUGAGGUAAAGGCUCACCUAGGCGACGAUCAGUAGCGGGUCUGGGAGGGUGAUCCGCCACACUGGGACUGAGACACGGCCCAGACUCCUACGGGAGGCAGCAGUGGGGAAUUUUGGACAAUGGGCGAAAGCCUGAUCCAGCCAUGCCGCGUGUCUGAGGAAGGCCUUCGGGUUGUAAAGGACUUUUGUCAGGGAGGAAAUCCCUAGUGCUAAUAACACUGGGGGAUGACAGUACCUGAAGAAUAAGCACCGGCUAACUACGUGCCAGCCGCCGCGGUAA